rnacentral:sRNA from 1 species
CUGUGGCAACAGCGCGGCCGAAUGCAGAUGGCCAAAGAAAGCAGGCACCCUGGUUGCUCUGUGUCACACUCAGCAGCGCCCCUCGGGCCGCGGUAGUGGACUCCUCGAAGCUCCCUCCUAGUCCCAGCCGGAGUUUCAAUGCACCGCAACGGAUCCUUGGAGUUCCAGCUAGGAAGUCCCUGAGCCUAGGCAGCCUAGGCUUCUAGGCUGCUAAGUUGCUGCUGCUUUUUCCGCAGUUAGAGUGGCCUGGCCACUUGUCACAUCACCGGACUCAGCAAUGUAGUAGAAACCUUUCUUGUUGCCUUUUUUUUUUUAACAAGGUGGAAAUGGGACGGGAAAACUCACGUCCCCGGAGUGUGAUUUCCUCCACAAUGAUGAAGUGUCUGCUGUAAGAAACUCCAGGUGACCGCACCUUCCCCAUAGACUGUUGUCCCCAGGGCAGGUUUACCUAUGCGUCAGGAAAGCAGCUUUGCCAAGUGGCAAUGGAACCGCCCCGGGGUCAGGGCUGGAGUCAGGCAGAUUUAAAACUCCGUGAUACUGAUUGCCUCAGAGUGAUGUCUCAUAAACGGUUCUGCAUUUUCCAACACAUUUAACAUAACCAGUGGAAACAAUAUUAACGUGAACUUUUUUCAGCAUUGCUUCCCUGGGCAGCUAAUCUGUCUAGACACAGGCAAAUGUGGCUCUCUGCAAAGUUUUGACCCAGUGGGACUAAGUCAAGACAACCCUGGAGGAACUCGCAACGUGCAACACACAGAAAGCUCAAGGACUGGCAAGCUCUUUAAUAACAAUACAGCUCCGGCAAAUUGUUUUAGCUACAACCAAGGAUGUCUUCAAGGCUGUGAUAGCAUAGCAACAGAGGUAGCAGUGCAGGUAUGGUGGUACGGUUGACAAUAAUUCCAGCUCUUGACCAGAUGAUGCAGCACGAACAAGAGUUGUGUGCAAGCUUGGUCCUCGGAACCAGUUAGGACCAGCCUGAGCUAUGUAGUAAAGACUGACUCAAAGCACCCAGGGCUGACUGUGGACAUCAAUAUGGUGGUUCCUCAGAAGACUGGGAAUCAUUCUACUUCAAGAUCCAGCUCUACCACUUUUGAGCAUAUCUCCAAAGGACCAUCCACCCUAGACAAAGUCAGUUGCUCAACGAUGCUCAUUGUGGCUUUAUUCAUAAUAGCCAGAAACUGGUAACAACGGAGAUGUCCCUCAGCCAAAGGAUGGAUAAAGAAAAUGUGGUACAUUAAUACAAUGGAAUAUUA